rnacentral:snRNA from 1 species
GGAUGUGAGGGCGAUCUGCGCGUGACGUCUGUCACCCCAGUGAUGCCAGGGUUGAUUCGGCUGAUCUGGCUGGCUAGGCGGGUGUCCCCUUCCCCCCUCACUGCUCCGUGUGUGUCCCUCCCAAAGCUGCGUGCUCAGUGGAGGAGGGUGGCCUUCCCCGAAUAGAGACGGAUGGGUGUUGGGUGGAGGGUAUCUGAGUAGCUGCGCUCCCCUGCUAGGACCUGCAAACAAGCUCUCAAGGUGCAUUUGUAGGAGAACGUGGGGUAGUCGAGCUUCCAAGACUCCAGACACAUCCAAAUGAGGUGCUGCAUGUGGCAGUCAGAGA